UGUCCAUCCAUUCCCAUGUCUCCACACUAUUUCUCCUUCCUCUAGUCUUACUACAGUCUGGAUCCAUUGCCAUCACAGGCCAUGCAUUUUCAAUCGAAGAAGCAACUGUCCAUGACUUCCAUAUGGCUUUCGAACAAAACAAACUCACCUCAAGGCAGCUGGUUGAGUUCUACCUGGGCAAGAUUCACAAACUCAACCCAAUUCUUCGUGGGGUAAUAGAGGUGAACCCAGAUGCACUCCUCCAAGCUGAUAAGGCCGACAGGGAGAGGAAGGCUAAGUUACCUGGGUCGCUGCUGGGGCUGCACGGCAUUCCUAUUCUGCUUAAGGAUAAUAUUGCAACCAAGGACAAGAUGAACACAACAGCAGGAUCAUUUGCAUUGCUUAAAUCAGUGGUGCCAAGGGAUGCAGGCGUGGUGAGGAAGUUGAGGAAGGCUGGAGCUAUCAUACUGGGAAAGGCUAGCCUCAGCGAGUGGGCUUAUUUUCGUGCUACUGUUAUUCCUUCGGGCUGGUGUGCUAGAACUGGCCAAGGUAAGGUAAGUUAUGAUCCAAAACUCAAAUUUUCCGACGGUAGUUAGCUUACAUUUUGGUUCUCAUCCUCCCCGGUAAAGAUAUGAACAGAUAUAGGCAGAUGGAAAUUAUACCCAAUUAUUUUCAUUCAAAUCCUUAGAAGGGGAAAAGCUUUUCUGUAUGAGGAGAACUUGUGGCCUCGUUGGAAAUUUCUAUUGUUUUGCAUUCAUGUAAGAAGUUUGUGUUUGGUUUUCAGGAAAAGCAGAGUUACUCCUUGAUCUCUAUAGCAUAGUAAAAUGUAGAAAAUGGAAUUUAUUAAUUUCCAAUUUCUCAUUCCAGUCAGUGUAAGUCUCCUCGUGAACUUGAACAUACACACCAAAAAAGAUAAUAAAAAAAAAAACAUAGAAUCUGAAUACAUGAAUCUUCACUAUGAUGCUGCACGCCAAAAAAGAUAACAAGCUUAGACAUGUUUGCCAAAGGAGUGAAAAGUGUGUGGAGCAUCUGGCCGGGGUCGCCAUUAAAAGGAAAAAAAGCUUCUUUCCAUUGAGCAUUCACACUAUGGUUGUCAAAUCGGUUUCUGUCUGUCAUUAUGUCCUAUAUCAAUCAUUCACCAUCAGUGGGUGUACCAAAAGAUUCUUCCUAUCAAUCAUAUCUUUUUUUAUCUGGCCACUCAAAUGUGUGGAAAUUUUGUUUUUACCUUUUUUUUUUUUCUCCUUUUUUAUGAAAAAAAAGGACCCUUUUCAUGCCUCUAUUGAUUCUGCCCAACACUCUGUUUCGAGUUGUCAUAUUUCUCUAGCAUUCUUGUGUUUCUAAUCCUAAGUAUAUGGGAUAAGAGAUUGAACAAAAACAAGAAGCCUCAAGCUACCGUUGAUUGCGAAAGGGAAGAAGAUUAAGGAUGAAAAUAGGACUACAAUGUGUUGCAUAAACAGUUUUAUGAAUCUUAAGCCUAUGAUUUCAAUGGUGUGCAGAACCCUUAUGUUCUAUCAGCAACUCCCUGUGGCUCAAGUAGUGGAUCAGCUAUAUCAGUAGCAGCAAAUUUAGCGGCAGUGUCUCUAGGGACGGAGACUGAUGGAUCCAUCUUAUGUCCAUCCCACGUUAAUUCAGUAGUGGGCAUCAAACCAACACUUGGUCUCACCAGCCGAGCUGGCGUGGUUCCAAUCUCUCCUAGGCAGGACACUGUUGGGUAGGUGAUGCUUCAUCUUCCUAAAUCCAAAUAUGAAGCUAUCAUCUGUUGAACAACCAAAGAUAGCAGACUGCUCAAACAUAUUUGAUGCAACAGGCCCAUCUGCAGGACAGUCUCCGAUGCUGUAGAGGUACUGGAUGUCAUUGUUGGUUUUGACUACAGGGAUGAAGCAACCAGGACAUCAUCCAAGUACAUACCACAAGGUGGCUAUAAGCAAUUUCUCAAUGCAAAUGGACUCAAGGGGAAGAGAUUGGGGAUAGUGAGGAAUCCCUUCUAUAUGUUUGAGAAUGGCUCUGUCCUGCCUCAAGUUUUUGAGCAUCAUUUCCACACACUAAGGUAACAAAACCUGCUUUCUAAGUACAGUGCUUAAUGUCCUAAUUACUCUAGCUUAAGGUGCUUGACUAAAUUAACCUAUUCUUAUUACAUCAUGCUUCAAGGCAAGGAGGUGCUAUUUUGGUAGACCACCUGGAAAUAGCCAACAUUGAUGUUAUCUAUGGCUCCUCCGGAGAAGGUGCAGCAUUAGAGGCUGAGUUCAAAAUAUCCUUGAAUGCUUACCUGAAAGAGCUGGUAGCAUCCCCAGUAAGAACUUUGGCUGAUGUGAUAGCCUUCAACAACAAAUUCUCACAUUUGGUGAGUACAUUCAGGAGGGGUUUUAAUUAUUUACUUGCUGUUCUAGAUUCCGCUAGGAUUGUUAAAACCACAUUCUGAAAAGAUGACUAAUUUAAUUACUUGAGUAACUGCAGGAAAAGAUCAAGGAGUAUGGACAAGAUACCUUUCUGCAGGCCGAAGCCACAAAUGGGAUAAACAAGAAAACUUUGUUAAAAUUAGCAAGAUUGUCACGAAAUGGAUUUGAGAAGUUGAUGAAGGAGCAUAAGCUGGAUGCAUUGGUGACUCCUGGUUCAAAUGUGAGUCCUGUUCUUGCUAUUGGAGGAUUCCCUGGAAUUUCUGUUCCAGCUGGAUAUGAUAGCAAAGGAGUACCAUUUGGCAUUUGUUUUGGGGGCCUAAAGGGCUCUGAGCCAAAGCUAAUCGAGAUUGCAUAUAGCUUCGAGCAAGCAACUAAGAUUAGGAAGCCACCUUCAUUUAAACCUUGAAGGUUUAGAACAACUCCUAUCAGAGUUGUACUACAUGUAUCAGUAUCAAGAACUCUUCUCUCUAGUUGGUAAUCCUGCACUAGAAAGGAUAUUAUAAUAAAGUGCUCAAUGUUUUGAAUGAACUAAGAUGGUACAGAGGCUGGUUUUCUCCAAAUCAUCUAAAUUAUGAAGUUUCCCUCUACCAUUUACUGUUGUGAUUGGUGCCAUUACAGUGCACUACCCUCUGAAUAACCACUCAUUUAUUUGCAAUAAAACAUGCAGAAUUCAUACAUAUAUCCUAUGAUAAAUGUAGAGAUACAUGAGCAAAAAGGAUUAGAUAAAAAUGUAAAACGGGUAUCAAUACUAAGAUAAAAGUAGCUGUAAAUUUGAUUAUCCUUAAAUUGGUUUACACAACUUCUAACAGCAGCCAGCCACUGAAAUUAUUUGUAGUUACUAAUUUUAGAUGUCCUUUUAUGGGCCAAAAAGUUUCAUUAGCCUUUUAUGGGGCAAAAAAUUAGAACGUUCGUUAAAUUAACAAUGAACUUCCACUCCUACGUCUUCCAACUUUUUCUCCUUUUUUCUAGCCUUAUGACUAGCAGUAUCCAUCACCAUCACAGGCCAUGCAUUCUCAAUCAAAGAAGCAACUCUCCAUGUUUUCCAUAAGGCUUUCAAGCAAAAUAAACUCAAUUCAAGGCAGCUGGUUGAGUUCUAUAUUAGUGAAAUUCACAAAUUGAACCCAAUCCUUCAUGGGGGUAGUAGAGGUGAACCCGGACCCACUCCUCCAAGCAGAUAAUGCUGACAGAGAGCAAAAGGCUGGGUCACCCGGCUUGUUGCUUGGGAUGCAGGUGUGAUGAGGAGGUUAAGGCUUGGGCUAUAUAGUGAGGAAUCUCUUCUUUACGUUGAGUGGGGAAGUAACCCAGCCUAACCCCAACUGAUUUUGAUUAUAAAUAAAGUCUUAACUUCCUCUAGAAGUGUAUGCAGUAGCAUCUUCUUUUCAUUUAUGUUCUUCUAGUGACAAAGGUUGAAUCCAUGACGAACAAGGACAUGAAAAAACAAAAUUAUACCUAUAGAAGGAAAAGCUAAAAAAUGUUGCAGAUCAAUUAAUCAUGAGGUGGCUAAUCACAACUUCUGAAGGCCACCAAAUGACUUCUAAUGACCAAUUUUCAGGAGCGAUAAAAAGUUCAAUCAUGACAUAGAUACAAUUCGUCUAGAUGAGUAUUUGGUUUACCUCUUUCCAAAGCUUCAAGGUCACAGAUAUAAUAUGUUUAUAUCAUAUCAUCCAAAAGCCCCACGAAACUAAGGUAUGUUUGAUGACUAUUUUUAAGAAUUAAUUUUUAUUAUUUAGAAUAACAAAAAUAAGAAAACAUGUUUGAUAAUCAGAAAACAAAAGAUAUGAUGUUUUUAGAUAAUACUUUUUAAUUAUUUUUUUAGGACGAUAUUAAAAAAAUAGUUAUACAAAUAGAAAGAAUAAUUAAAAAUAAAGCUCUGUAUAUAAAAAUUAUUUUAAAAACAUAUUUACAAGUAUAAGAAACAAGUUAAGCAUAUUUUAGGUUACGUAAUUAACUUUUGUUUUACAAAAUAUCAAAAAAGGGUUUCAAAAUAUUGUUAUCAGAAGCUAUUUUUAAGAAUUAUUUUUGUGGGAUGGUGGUGACUUAGAGAAAAAAAUCUCACUUGAUGAAUUGGAACUUGGUUUGUACCAAUAAGAAAAAGGGGGGCCUUGUAAUUCAUAGAAUUGUGGAUUUAAACAAAGCCUUACUUAGGAAGUGGACCAGAUCAAUUAAUCUUAACGGCCACAAAAUGAUUUCAAAUGACCAAUUUUUGGAUGUACUUGUGUGGGGACGAAAAAUUUGAGUCACGACAUGUGGGACAUGUGGGCUAUGCAAUUUCAAGAGGAGCUAUCAUUAAUGUGCUCCAUUAUUGAAGCUAAAUGUCUGGAUAAGAAUUUUUUUGCCACUUUCAACAGUUUUAAGGCCAUAGAUACAAUUUGUUAGUGCCAUAUCAUCCGGAAGCCCCAAGACACCAAUAUACUCAACCUUAGAUAUAUUUAUACACUCUUAUCAAGCCUACUUCCAAGUUGAAUAACUGGUGAAAUCAAGUCAAUACAAUAAUGUCCAUCCAUUUCCAUGUCUCCACACUAUUUCUCCUUCCUCUAGUCUUACUACCGUCUGGAUCCAUUGCCAUCACAGGCCAUGCAUUUUCAAUCGAAGAAGCAACUGUCCAUGACUUCCAUAUGGCUUUCGAACAAAACAAACUCACCUCAAGGCAGCUGGUUGAGUUCUACCUGGGCAAGAUUCACAAACUCAACCCAAUUCUUCGUGGGGUAAUAGAGGUGAACCCAGAUGCACUCCUCCAAGCUGAUAAGGCCGACAGGGAGAGGAAGGCUAAGUUACCUGGGUCGCUGCUGGGGCUGCACGGCAUUCCUAUAUAUUCUGCUUAAGGAUAAUAUUGCAACCAAGGACAAGAUGAACACAACAGCAGGAUCAUUUGCAUUGCUUAAAUCAGUGGUGCCAAGGGAUGCAGGCGUGGUGAGGAAGUUGAGGAAGGCUGGAGCUAUCAUACUGGGAAAGGCUAGCCUCAGCGAGUGGGCUGCUUUUCGUGCUACUGCUACUCCUUCGGGCUGGUGUGCUAGAACUGGCCAAGGUAAGGUAAGUUGUGAUCCAAAACUCAAAUUUUCCGACGGUAGUUAGCUUACAUUUUGGUUCUCAUCCUCCCCGGUAAAGAUAUGAACAGAUAUAGGCAGAUGGAAAUUAUACCCAAUAAUUUUUUAAUCAAAUUCUUAGAAGGGGAAAAGCUUUUCUGUUUAAGGAGAAUUUGUGUACUCGUUGGAAAUUUCUGCUGUUUUGCAUUUAUCCUGAGAAGUUUGUGUUUGUUUGUCAGGAAAAGCAGAGUUACUCUAUGAUUUCUAUAGCAUAUUAAAUGUAGAAAGUGGAAUUUACUAAUUUCCAAUUUCUCAUUCCAGUCAGUGUAAGUCUCCUCGUGAACUUGAACAUACACGCCAAAAAAGAUCAAAAAAAAAAAAAUUAGAAUCUGAAUACAUGAAUCUGCACUAUGAUGCUGCACGCCAAAAAAGAUAACGAGUUUAGACACGUUUGCCAAAGGAGUGAAAAGUGUGUGGAGCAUCUGGCCGGAGUCGCCAUUAAAAGGAAAAAAGCUUCUUUCCAUUUAGCAUUCACACUAUGGUUGUCAAAUGGGUUUCAGUCUGUCAUUAUGUCCUACAACAAUCAUUCACCAUCAGUGGGUGUACCAAAAGAUUCUUCCUAUCAAUCAUAUCUUUUUUAUCUGCCCACUCAAAUGUGUGGAAAUUUUAUUUUUUUAAGGGUCUAUUGAUUCUGCCCAACAUUCUGUUUCGAGUUGUCAUAUUUCUCUAGCAUUCUUGUGUUUCUAAUACUAAGUAUAUGGGAUAAGAGAUUGAACAAAAACAAGAAGCCUCAAACUACCGUUGAUUGCAAAAGGGAAGAAGAUUAAGGAUGAAAAUAGGACUACAAUGUGUUGCAUAAACAGUUUUAUGAAUCUUAAGCCUACGAUUUCAUUGGUGUGCAGAACCCUUAUGUUCUAUCAGCAACUCCCUGUGGCUCAAGUAGUGGAUCAGCUAUAUCAGUAGCAGCAAAUUUAGCGGCAGUGUCUCUAGGGACGGAGACUGAUGGAUCCAUCUUAUGUCCAUCCCACAUUAAUUCAGUAGUGGGCAUCAAACCAACACUUGGUCUCACCAGCCGAGCUGGCGUGGUUCCAAUCUCUCCUAGGCAGGACACUGUUGGGUAGGUGAUGCUUCAUCUUCCUAAAUCCAAAUAUGAAACUAUCAUCUGUUGAACAACCAAAGAUAGCAGACUGCUCAAACAUAUUUGAUGCAACAGGCCCAUCUGCAGGACAGUCUCCGAUGCUGUCGAGGUACUGGAUGUCAUUGUUGGUUUUGACUACAGGGAUGAAGCAACCAGGACAGCAUCCAAGUACAUACCACAAGGUGGCUAUAAGCAAUUUCUCAAUGCAAAUGGGCUCAAGGGGAAGAGAUUGGGGAUAGUGAGGAAUCCCUUCUAUAUGUUUGGGAAUGGCUCUGUCCUCCCUCAAGUUUUUGAGCAUCAUUUCCACACACUCAGGUAACAAAACCUGCUUUCUAAGUACAGUGCUUAAUACCCUAAUGACUCUAGCUUAAGGUGCUUGACUAAAUUAACAUAUUCUUAUUACAUCAUUCCACAAAGGCAAGGAGGUGCUAUUUUGGUAGAUCACCUGGAAAUAGCCAACAUUGAUGUUAUCUAUGGCUCCUCCGGAGAAUAUGCAGCAUUAGAGGCUGAGUUCAAAACAUCCUUGAAUGCUUACCUGAAAGAGCUGGUAGCAUCCCCAGUAAGAACUUUGGCUGAUGUGAUAGCCUUCAACAACAAAUUCUCACAUUUGGUUAGUACAUUCAGGAGAGGUUUUCAUUAUUUACUUGUUGUUCUAGAUUCCGCUAGGAUUGUUAAAACCACAUUCUGAAAAGAUGACUAAUUUAAUUACUUGGGUAACUGCAGGAAAAGAUAAAGGAGUAUGGACAAGAUAUCUUUCUGCAAGCCGAAGCCACAAAUGGGAUAAACAAGAAAACUUUGUUAAAAUUAGCGAGAUUGUCACGAAAUGGGUUUGAGAAGUUGAUGAAGGAGCAUAAGCUGGAUGCAUUGGUGACACCUGGUUCAGAUGUUAGAACUAUUCUUGCUAUUGGAGGAUUCCCUGGAAUUUCUGUUCCAGCUGGAUAUGACAGCGAAGGAGUACCAUUUGGCAUUUGUUUUGGGGGCCUAAAGGGCUCUGAGCCAAAGCUGAUCGAGAUUGCAUAUAGCUUCGAGCAAGCAACUAAGAUUAGGAAGCCAC
rnacentral:lncRNA from 1 species